rnacentral:rRNA from 1 species
UUAAGUUACAAAGGGCGCACGGUGGAUGCCUUGGCACUAGGAGCCGAUGAAGGACGUGACUAACGACGAUAUGCUUCGGGGAGCUGUACGUAAGCUUUGAUCCGGAGAUUUCCGAAUGGGGGAACCCAGCCACCUUUGGUGGUUAUCAUUGAGUGAAUACAUAGCUCAAUGAAGGCAAACGCAGGGAACUGAAACAUCUAAGUACCUGCAGGAAGAGAAAGCAAUUGCGAUUCCCAUAGUAGCGGCGAGCGAAGUGGGAACAGCCCAAACCAAAGUGCUUGCACUUUGGGGUUGUAGGACCAAACAUUGGAGUUACCAAAGUGAGUGAUAGACGAAGUCAGCUGGAAAGCUGCGCGAGACAAGGUGAAAGCCCUGUAGUCGAAACCGCUCACCCUCCGUUUGGGAUCCUGAGUACGGCGGAACACGUGAAAUUCCGUCGGAAUCCGGGUGGACCAUCACCCAAGGCUAAAUACUCCCUAGUGACCGAUAGUGAACCAGUACCGUGAGGGAAAGGUGAAAAGCACCCCGGAAGGGGAGUGAAAUAGUUCCUGAAACCGUGUGCCUACAAUUAGUUGGAGCCCGUUAAUGGGUGACAGCGUGCCUUUUGUAGAAUGAACCGGCGAGUUACGCUAACAUGCGAGGUUAAGGUGAAAAGCCGGAGCCGCAGCGAAAGCGAGUCUGAAUAGGGCGAAUAAGUAUGUUGGUGUAGACCCGAAACCAAGUGACCUACCCAUGACCAGGUUGAAGGUGUGGUAAAACGCACUGGAGGACCGAACCCGUGUAUGUUGAAAAAUGCUGGGAUGAGUUGUGGGUAGCGGUGAAAUUCCAAACGAACUUGGAGAUAGCUGGUUCUCUCCGAAAUAGCUUUAGGGCUAGCCUCGGAGGAUGGAUAUUGGAGGUAGAGCACUGUUUGGACUAGGGGCCCAUCUUGGGUUACUGAAUUCAGAUAAACUCCGAAUACCAAUUAUCUUACUCCGGGAGUCAGACGGUGAGCGAUAAGGUCCAUCGUCGAAAGGGGAACAGCCCAGAUCACCAGUUAAGGUCCCUAAAUUUAUGCUAAGUGGAAAAGGAUGUGGCGUUGCACAGACAACUAGGAUGUUGGCUCAGAAGCAGCCAUCAUUUAAAGAGUGCGUAAUAGCUCACUAGUCGAGUGACCCUGCGCCGAAAAUAUACCGGGGCUAAGCAUAAUACCGAAACUGUGGAUGCAUCCGUAAGGAUGCGUGGUAGGAGAGCGUUCCAAGGGCGUUGAAGGUCGACCGUGAGGACGGCUGGAGCGCUUGGAAGUGAGAAUGCGGCAUGAGUAGCGAAAGAUCGGUGAGAAUCCGAUCCACCGUAUGACUAAGGUUUUCUGGGGAAGGCUCGUCCUCCCAGAGUUAGUCGGGACCUAAGGCGAGGCCGAGAGGCGUAGUCGAUGGCAAACAGGUUGAGAUUCCUGUACUGAUCUAUUUUGUUUGACCGAUGGCGGGACGCAGGAGGUUAAGUCAAGCACACGGCUGGAAAUGUGUGUCCAAGCACUGAGUCUUGAAGCGAGUGAAAUGCUUACUUCUCUAAGGACAAGGUGUGAUGGGGAGCGAAAUUUAAGUAGCGAAGUGACUGAUAUCACACUGCCGAGAAAAGCGUCUAGGAAGAAAUAGAUCACCCGUACCGCAAACCGACACAGGUAGUCGAGGCGAGUAGCCUCAGGUGAGCGAGCGAACUCUCGUUAAGGAACUCGGCAAAAUGACCCCGUAACUUCGGAAGAAGGGGUGCUGCACGUGAGUGCAGCCGCAGUGAAUAGGCCCAAACAACUGUUUAUCAAAAACACAGGUCUCUGCUAAAUCGUAAGAUGACGUAUAGGGGCUGACACCUGCCCGGUGCUGGAAGGUUAAGAGGAUGAGUUAGCGUAAGCGAAGCCCAGAAUUGAAGCCCCAGUAAACGGCGGCCGUAACUAUAACGGUCCUAAGGUAGCGAAAUUCCUUGUCGGGUAAGUUCCGACCCGCACGAAAGGUGUAAUGAUUUGGGCACUGUCUCAACGAGAGACUCGGUGAAAUUAUAGUACCCGUGAAGAUGCGGGUUACCCGCGACAGGACGGAAAGACCCCAUGGAGCUUUACUGUAGCUUGAUAUUGAGUGUUUGUACCGCUUGUACAGGAUAGGUAGGAGCCGUAGAGGCCGGAACGCUAGUUUCGGCAGAGGCGUUGGUGGGAUACUACCCUUGCUGUAUGAACACUCUAACCUGCGCCACUCAGCGUGGCGGGAGACAGUGUCAGGUGGGCAGUUUGACUGGGGCGGUCGCCUCCUAAAAUGUAACGGAGGCGCCCAAAGGUUCCCUCAGAAUGGUUGGAAAUCAUUCGCAGAGUGUAAAGGUAUAAGGGAGCUUGACUGCGAGACUGACAAGUCGAGCAGGGACGAAAGUCGGGCUUAGUGAUCCGGUGGUUCCGUAUGGAAGGGCCAUCGCUCAACGGAUAAAAGCUACCCUGGGGAUAACAGGCUUAUCUUCCCCAAGAGUCCACAUCGACGGGAAGGUUUGGCACCUCGAUGUCGGCUCAUCGCAUCCUGGGGCUGUAGUCGGUCCCAAGGGUUGGGCUGUUCGCCCAUUAAAGCGGUACGCGAGCUGGGUUCAGAACGUCGUGAGACAGUUCGGUCCCUAUCCGUCGCGGGCGCAGGAAAUUUGAGAGGAGCUGUCCUUAGUACGAGAGGACCGGGAUGGACGUUCCGCUGGUGUACCAGUUGUGCCGCCAGGCGCAUCGCUGGGUAGCUAUGAACGGACGGGAUAAACGCUGAAAGCAUCUAAGUGUGAAGCCCCCCUCGAGAUGAGAUUUCCCAUUCCUAUAUGGAAGUAAGACCCCUGAGAGAUGAUCAGGUAGAUAGGCUGGAAGUGGAAGUGCAGCGAUGCAUGGAGCGGACCAGUACUAAUCGGUCGAGGACUUAACCAA